CCUACGGGUGGCAGCAGUGGGGAAUAUUGCACAAUGGACGAAAGUCUGAUGCAGCAACGCCGCGUGGAGGAUGACACAUUUCGGUGCGUAAACUCCUUUUAUAUGGGAAGAUAAUGACGGUACCAUAUGAAUAAGCACCGGCUAACUCCGUGCCAGCAGCCGCGGUAAUACGGAGGGUGCAAGCGUUACUCGGAAUCACUGGGCGUAAAGAGCGUGUAGGCGGGUAUAUAAGUCAGAAGUGAAAUCCAAUAGCUUAACUAUUGAACUGCUUUUGAAACUGUGUACCUAGAAUGUGGGAGAGGUAGAUGGAAUUUCUGGUGUAGGGGUAAAAUCCGUAGAGAUCAGAAGGAAUACCGAUUGCGAAGGCGAUCUACUGGAACAUUACUGACGCUGAGGCGCGAAAGCGUGGGGAGCAAACAGGAUUAGAUACCCCUGUAGUC
rnacentral:rRNA from 1 species